UGAUCCAGCCAUCCCGCGUGUGCGAUGAAGSCCUUCGGGUUGUAAAGCACUUUUGGCAGGAAAGAAACGGYCSUGGHUAAUACCUGGGGCAACUGACGGUACCUGCAGAAUAAGCMCCGGCUAAYUACGUSCCAGCAGCCGCGGUAAUACGUAGGGUGCAAGCGUUAAUCGGAAUUACUGGGCGUAAAGCGUGCGCAGGCGGUUCGGAAAGAAAGAUGUGAAAUCCCAGAGCUUAACUUUGGAACUGCAUUUUUAACUACCGGGCUAGAGUGUGUCAGAGGGAGGUGGAAUUCCGCGUGUAGCAGUGAAAUGCGUAGAGAUGCGGAGGAACACCGAUGGCGAAGGCAGCCUCCUGGGAUAACACUGACGCUCAUGCACGAAAGCGUGGGGAGCAAACAGGAUUAGAUACCCUGGUAGUCCACGCCCUAAACGAUGUCAACUAGCUGUUGGGGGCUUCGGGCCUUGGUAGCGCAGCUAACGCGUGAAGUUGACCGCCUGG
rnacentral:rRNA from 1 species